UCUCCGUAGGUGAACCAGCGGAGGGAUCAUUACAGAGUUCGUGCCCUCGCGGGUAGAUCUCCCACCCUGUGUUAUUGCUACCUUUGUUGCUUUGGCGGGCCGCCCUCGGCUACCGGCCCCGGCUGGUACGCGCCCGCUAGAGGACCCCAACCCCUGAACGUCAGUGUCUUCUGAGUACUAUACAAUAGUUAAAACUUUCAACAACGGAUCUCUUGGUUCUG
rnacentral:misc_RNA from 1 species